GACGAACGCUGGCGGCGUGCUUAACACAUGCAAGUCGAACGGAAAGGCACUGAUUUUGUGGGGUGAUCGAGUGGCGAACGGGUGAGUAAGAGGUGAGUAACCUGCUCUAGACUUUGGGGUAAGUUAAGGAAAGUGGGGUUAAUCUAGGAUAGGAGAUCAUGCUGCAUGGUGGGGGGUGGAACGUCUCGGCGGUAGGGGAUGGACUAGCGGCUUACCAGCUUGUUGGUGGGGUAGUGGCAUACCCAGGAAGUGACGGGUAGCCGGCCUGGGAGGGUGACCGGCGUCAUUGGUACUGCGAUACGGCGCAGUCGCCUACGGGAGGCAGCAGUGGGGAAUAUGGCACAAUCAGCGCAAGCCUGAUGCAACAACGCCGCGUUCGGGAUGACGUCCUUCUGGUUGAAAACCGCUUUCGCCUGUUACGAAGCUGUAGUGACGGUAAUGGAUAAAUAAGCACCGGCUAACUACGUG
rnacentral:rRNA from 1 species